rnacentral:sRNA from 1 species
UUUCAGGAAGAUACUUGGAAAAUUCUACUCAUGGACUCCUGGCUUUGGUGCCGCUCUGCCAGCAUCUUACGUGGCCAUUCUCAUUGAAAGAAAAAGCAGGAGAGGGCUGCUCACAAUUUAUAUGGCCAACUUGGCCACAGAAACACUAUUCAGAAUGGGUGUAGCAAGAGGAACCAUCACAACAUUAAGAAAUGGAGAAGU